rnacentral:rRNA from 1 species
GACGAACGCUGGCGGCGUGCUUAACACAUGCAAGUCGAGCGGUAAGGCCCUUUCGGGGGUACGACGAGCGGCGAACGGGUGAGUAACACGUGGGUGGACCUGCCCUCAGCUCUGGGAGUAAGCCUGGGAAACCGGGUCUAAUACUGGAUAUGACUCCAUGACGCAUGUUGGUGGGGUGGAAAGCCUUGUGCGGCUGAGGAUGGGCCCGCGGCCUAUCAGCUUGUUGGUGGGGUGAGGCCUACCAAGGCGACGACGGGUAGCCGGCC